rnacentral:rRNA from 1 species
AUUGAACGCUGGCGGCAGGCCUAACACAUGCAAGUCGAGCGAGCGGCGGACGGGUGAGUAAUGUAUGGGGACUGCCCGAUAGAGGGGGAUAACUACUGGAAACGGUAGCUAAUACCGCAUACUAUCGGAUAACCCAUAUGGGAUUAGAUAGUAGGUGAGGUAAUGGCUAACCAAGGCGACGAUCCCUAGCUGGUCUGAGAGGAUGAUCAGCCACACUGGGACUGAGACACUGACCCGACUCCUACGGAGGCAGCAGUGGGGAAUAUUGCACAAUGGGCGCAAGCCUGAUGCAGCCAUGCCGCGUGUAUGAAGAAGGCCCUAGGGUUGUAAAGUACUUUCAGUCGGGAUGCGUUACCGACAGAAGAAGUACCGGCUAACUCCGUGCCAGCAGCCGCGGUAAUAC